rnacentral:rRNA from 1 species
GAUGAACGCUGGCGGCGUGCCUAAUACAUGCAAGUCGAGCGAACAGACGAGGAGCUUGCUCCUCUGACGUUAGCGGUGGACGGGUGAGUAACACGUGGAUAACCUACCUAUAAGACUGGGAUAACUUCGGGAAACCGGAGCUAAUACCGGAUAACAUGUUGAACCGCAUGGUUCAACAGUGAAAGACGGUCUUGCUGUCACUUAUAGAUGGAUCCGCGCCGCAUUAGCUAGUUGGUAAGGUAACGGCUUACCAAGGCAACGAUGCGUAGCCGACCUGAGAGGGUGAUCGGCCACACUGGAACGGAGACACGGUCCAGACUCCUACGGGAGGCAGCGGUAGGGAAUCUUCCGCAAUGGGCGAAAGCCUGACGGAGCAACGCCGCGUGAGUGAAGAAGGUCUUCGGAUCGUAAAACUCUGUUAUUAGGGAAGAACAAAUGUGUAAGUAACUAUGCACGUCUCGACGGUACCUAAUCAGAAAGCCACGGCUAACUACGUGCCAGCCGCCGCCGUAA